rnacentral:rRNA from 1 species
UACAGAGGUCUCAAGCGUUGUUCGGAUUCAUUGGGCGUAAAGGGUGCGUAGGUGGCGCCGUAAGUCAGGUGUGAAAUUUCGGAGCUUAACUCCGAAACUGCAUUUGAUACUGCGGUGCUUGAGGACUGGAGAGGAGACUGGAAUUCACGGUGUAGCAGUGAAAUGCGUAGAUAUCGUGAGGAAGACCAGUGGCGAAGGCGGGUCUCUGAACAGUUCCUGACACUGAGGCACGAAGGCCAGGGGAGCAAACGGG